GCCGCUCUCCUGCAUCUGUUGUGAUUCGCCUGAAGAAAGAUUGUCCAAACACACAGAAAAACUCCUGCUAAGAUCUAUACGCUGUUAUAAAGAUGGCGUUUAUUAAAGAGGAGAGUGAAGACGUGAGGAUUGAAGAAGCAUUCAGAGUCGAAGCUGAGGAACAAACAGACCUCAUGCCGCUGAAAGAGGAGUGCACAGUAUCGAAUGAAACAGAAACGAAAGAACAAUAUGAGACUCAUCAUGAUUUUAUAACAGGAGAACAAUCUUUCAGUUGGCCACAGAUUAAAGAGACUUUCUCACAGAAAACAGCUCAUGAAACAGGAACUAAAAGUUAUUUCACCCCUUUUUACUGUGAAAAGAGUUUCAAUGAACAUGGAAACCUUAAAGUCCACAUGAGCAUUCACACCGGAGACAAGCCUUCCAUCUGCCCUGAGUGUGGAAAAAGUUUCACGUCUGAAGGAAACCUUAAAGUGCACAUGCGAGUUCACACUGGAGAGAAGCCUUACACCUGCCCUGAGUGUGGAAAGAGUUUUACUCAAAAAGUAAACCUUAAAGUCCACAUGAGAAUUCACACUGGAGAGAAACUAUACUCAUGUCUUCAGUGUGGAAAGAGUUUUACUCAAAGGGUAAACCUUAAAGUCCACAUGAGAGCUCACACUGGAGAGAAACUAUACUCAUGUCUUCAGUGUGGAAAGAGUUUUACUCAAAAAGUAAACCUUAAAGUCCACAUGAGAGUUCACACUGAAGGGAAGCCUUUUAUCUGCCCUGAGUGUGGAAAGGGUUUCGAUCAAAAAGUACACCUUAAAGUGCACAUGAGAAUUCACACUGGAGACAAGCCUUCCAUCUGCCCUGAGUGUGGAAAAAGUUUCACGUCUGAAGGAAACCUUAAAGUGCACAUGCGAAUUCACACUGGAGACAAACCUUACACCUGCUCUGAGUGUGGAAAGCGUUUUAAUCAACUUGGAAACCUUAACAUGCACAUGAGAAUUCACACUGGAGAGAAACUAUACUCAUGUCUUCAGUGUGGAAAGUGUUUUAUUCAAAAAGUAAACCUUAAAGUCCACAUGAGAGUUCACACUGAAGGGAAGCCUUUUAUCUGCCCUGUGUGUGGAAAGAGUUUUAAUCAACCUGGAGCCCUUAACAUGCACAUGAGCUUUCACCCUAGAGAGAAACCAUACUCAUGUCGUCAGUGUGGAAAGUAUUUUACUCGAAAAGUAAACCUUAAAGUCCACAAGAGAAUUCACACUGAAGGGAAGCCUUACACCUGCCCUGAGUGUGGAAAGGGUUUUGAUCAAAAAGUACACCUUAAAGUGCACAUGAAAGUUCACCCUGGAGAGAGUCCUUGUAUCUGCCAACUGUGUGGAAAAAGCUUCAUUCAUAAAGGAUUCCUUAACGAACACAUGAGGAUUCAUCCUGAAGAAAAGCGUUACGUGUGCCAUCAGUGUGGAAAAAGUUUCAGCCAAAAAGGAAACCUUAACAAACACAUGAGAAUUCACACUAGAGAAAAACUUUAUACAUGCCCUCAGUGUGGAGAGAGUUUCGAUCUACAUGAAAGCCUUGAAGCCCACAUGAGGAUUCAUCCUGAAGAAAAGCGUUACGUGUGCCAACAGUGUGGAAAAAGUUUUACUCAAAAAUCAAGCCGUAACAGUCACAUGAGAAGAUUACACGGCAUAUUUUCAAAACAAUCUUGAUCGACACGUGAGGAUUUAUUUGAGAGAACGGUAACACUUUCUAUGAAGCCCGUAUUUAUAAUACAUUAUACAGGGCUCUUUCACCAGAGCGGUGCUGGGAGGUCUUGGAGUCUGCUGAAAAUGACGUCUUGAAACACAUCAAUAACCUUAUGAUCGACUGGAGAUACAUCAGAGAAAUGACGAGGGAGCAGGAGCUGCUG